AUGCAUAAGCUUGUAAACGUUCAUUAUUUGGACAAGUCGACAUUUAUGCUUGGAAAUGACGAUGAAGGGGAAGAGGCUAUGGUUUUUGACACAAGUCCAAGCUUUGAUGAUCUUGUAGUUCAAGUGAGAAGCGUCUUACAUUGGAAUGACCCAAAUGCCGAGGUUAAGCUUAUUGGGAGGUAUGACGUUGGAUUGGGAGUAAAGUCCCGAUUAAAGAGUAUGCCCAUCACCUCCCAAUUGCAUUGGAAUGUGUACAAGGAAAAAGUAGACGCAUCACAAGACAAGUCUCUUGAGAUCUUUGCCGCAAAGGUUGAUCCUCCUCCUCCUUUGCAAAUUGAUCUCAACCGCAAUGCAUCCUCCCCCAUGCAUGAUGACAGUGCCGAGGUGUAUGUCCCCAAUUCUUCUAGCCAACCACCAAGUAGCCAACCCAAUGAAGAUCAUAUCAACGCUAGCGCCAUAGUACUCCGUCAUGAUGCUAUUCCUCAUGUUGAAGAAGAUGCUAUUCCUCAUGUUGAUGAUGAUGCUAUUGUUGCUCUAGAGGAGGAUGUUUACUCGGAGAAUGAAGAGAUCCAUUACAAUCCAAUUGGUAACUUGGAUGUCAUUGUGCGGCAACAAGACAUGGACCGUACCCUCCCUUAUAACCGUAUGUGUGGGUAUCACUCGGAUGACGAGGGUCCGGAGAAGAGUUGGAUGAGGAUGGGUUGA
rnacentral:rRNA from 1 species